rnacentral:rRNA from 1 species
UUAGAGUUUGAUCCUGGCUCAGGAUGAACGCUAGCGGCAGGCUUAACACAUGCAAGUCGAGGGGCAGCAUAUAAGUAGCAAUACUUAUGAUGGCGACCGGCGCACGGGUGCGUAACGCAUAUGCAACCUACCCAUUACAGGGGGAUAACAUUGAGAAAUCGGUACUAAUACCCCAUAACAUCUCCGGAGGCAUCUCCGGGGGUUGAAAACUCCGGUGGUAAUGGAUGGGCAUGCGUUGUAUUAGUUAGUUGGUGGGGUAACGGCUCACCAAGACGACGAUACAUAGGGGGACUGAGAGGUUAACCCCCCACAUUGGUACUGAGACACGGACCAAACUCCUACGGGAGGCAGCAGUGAGGAAUAUUGGUCAAUGGACGCAAGUCUGAACCAGCCAUGCCGCGUGCAGGAAGACGGCUCUAUGAGUUGUAAACUGCUUUUGUACGAGGGUAAACUCGGGUACGUGUACCCGACUGAAAGUAUCGUACGAAUAAGGAUCGGCUAACUCCGUGCCAGCAGCCGCGGUAAUACGGAGGAUUCAAGCGUUAUCCGGAUUUAUUGGGUUUAAAGGGUGCGUAGGCGGUCGGAUAAGUUAGAGGUGAAAUCCCGGGGCUCAACUCCGGAAUUGCCUCUGAUACUGUUCGGCUAGAGAGUAGUUGCGGUAGGCGGAAUGUAUGGUGUAGCGGUGAAAUGCUUAGAGAUCAUACAGAACACCGAUUGCGAAGGCAGCUUACCAAGCUACAUCUGACGUUGAGGCACGAAAGCGUGGGGAGCAAACAGGAUUAGAUACCCUGGUAGUCCACGCAGUAAACGAUGAUAACUCGUUGUCGGCGAUACAAUGUCGGUGACUAAGCGAAAGCGAUAAGUUAUCCACCUGGGGAGUACGUUCGCAAGAAUGAAACUCAAAGGAAUUGACGGGGGCCCGCACAAGCGGAGGAACAUGUGGUUUAAUUCGAUGAUACGCGAGGAACCUUACCCGGGCUUGAAAGUUACUGACGCUUCUGGAAACAGGAGUUCCCUUCGGGGCAGGAAACUAGGUGCUGCAUGGUUGUCGUCAGCUCGUGCCGUGAGGUGUCGGGUUAAGUCCCAUAACGAGCGCAACCCCUACCGUUAGUUGCCAUCAGGUAAAGCUGGGCACUCUGGCGGGACUGCCGGUGUAAGCCGAGAGGAAGGUGGGGAUGACGUCAAAUCAGCACGGCCCUUACGUCCGGGGCUACACACGUGUUACAAUGGCAGGUACAGAGGGCAGCUACCUCGUGAGAGGAUGCGAAUCUCGAAAGCCUGUCUCAGUUCGGAUUGGAGGCUGAAACCCGCCUCCAUGAAGUUGGAUUCGCUAGUAAUCGCGCAUCAGCCAUGGCGCGGUGAAUACGUUCCCGGGCCUUGUACACACCGCCCGUCA